CCGCACCCAGGGAAGCAUAGGCAUAGCAGAGGCGCUCCAUUAAUCCCCUCCAGUGAUCUCCUCAAGCAGGGCAAAGCAUAUUCCGCUUCCCCCUCCCCCCAUUUCCCCAAACGCCGCCUCUGGCUCCGGCCUCGCCGCCCGGCCUUCAUGGACCCCGCCGCCGACCAGUCCCCGGAGGAGGUGUACUCCGUCUGGGCCCUCCCGCCGGAGCCCGUCCGCGCCCGCCUCCGCGGCCUCAUGGCCGGCCUCCGCGCCGCGCACGGCGGCCCGGCCUUCGAGCCGCACGCCACCGUCGUCGGCGCCGUCCGCAUGCGCCGUUCAGCGGCCGUCGAGGCGCUCCGUGCCGCCGCCGCGGCGGCCGUCGUCCGCCCCUACACCGCCCGCGUCACCGGCGUCGCCCGGGGGGACUUCUUCUACCAGUGCGUCUACCUCCUCCUCGAACCCACCCCCGAGGUGAACCAAGCAAGCGAUCACUUCUGUGCACACUUUGGGUUUCAGAGAUCAACUCCAUAUAUGCCCCAUGUCAGUGUCUUGUACGGAGACCUGACAGACGAGGAGAAGGAAUCAGCAAGGAAGAAGGUCGAGGAAAUGGACAAUGAAAUAUGUGGACUGCAGUUUGAGAUCUCAGAGCUUGCACUUUACAGAACGGACACAGAGGAUAAGAGCUUGGAAUCCUGGGAAUUGGUGGAGGUAUGCCACCUUGAGAAGAAGUGAUCAGUUUCCUCCCAAUGAUGCUUCUACUGUGACGUGCUUGAUAUUUGUCAUUUUGGUCCUGAGCUUUAUGGAGUAGUCAGGCACUCACUUCGUAGAUAUUUCGGCUUGGGUUCAUAAGUCAUCUGAUUACUAGCAUUGUUGGGUAUACUGGAGCAAGCCUGUGAAGUGUGAACUAUGGGCGAUUGUUCGCAUAAUGCCCUUGGCGUGUUUUUGGGUUCUCAUUCCAACUGCAUGUUUAUACUGGUUAGUAAUAAGCAUUUCCCCCUGUAUUUUUGAGGUAUAUGCUCAUAUUGUUUGGUGCUGGCAUGUAAUACACUUACACAAAGCUAACAGAUUUCAUCCCUUCUGAAAACUCAUUUUCCUUAUAGCGUAGGGUCAUUACGUCAUCCAAAUUCAGGGAUUGUGGAAACGGGCUAGUAAGAAUAGGGAAACAUAUAUUUGGAGCCUACUUACUUGCACUAAGUCCAGGAUCCUGGCCGCAUUAACAUCGUUUACAAGCAAAGUAGAAUCCACUUUCACAUGGGGUAAAAUAUGAAUAUAUACCUUUGAAGGCUUUUACUUCAGGCUGUCCUCAGUGUCACAUAGAGAUGACACCAAACAAAAACAUCACAUAGCGAAAAGUCUACAUGGUAGGAGGAUCGGAAGGCUGGCAUGAAAUAAUUGUAAUUGUACAGGCCCUUGUGGCUUGUAGUGGCUAUGUACUGGGCAAAAUAUCUGAUUUGAUAAUGAGAUGCUCUGAACAAGGAAGGGCUGUGCUCCUUACAUAUCCUCGGUGACUCAAAUAGGAAAGGAGAAGCAUCUCUUUUGCCAAGAUAACAAUGUUCCCAGAAGGUAUAAGAUUAAAUAUGAGAACCAAUUGAAUAUUCCAUGUUCUCUUUUGUAUCUUUAUUGAGAGGACAAUAUGCCGGCCUUCAAGGAGUCGUCUGGAUGCUUGGUGGGGAACGGUGCUACUAUCUCCCUCUGGAAUGAUUCUUGGACUUUUACUGCUGCCCCUGAUCAAGAUCUUUGGCUAAGUAUUUGGGGAAAUGGUUCUUUUCUGACCAGGCACUUCUAUGCUAGCUGUUUCCCUCCCUAUCGUCGUAGCUUCGUCCUUUCUGCCAUCUGGAACGCAACUGUCCCUAAGAUCAAGGGCUUCAGCUGGCUGCUGCUUCUUGACCGGCUCAACACCAGAGACCUCAUGGAUCGUAAGCACUGUAAUAAGGGUCUCUGUCAUGCAUCAUUUGCAAUCUUGGAUCAAGGAAUCUCGGAAUCACCUGUUCUUUCAAUGCCUCUUCAGUCAGGAUUGUUGGGCCUCCUUGGGUGGAAAUUCUUUGGCCCAAUGGUUCCGUAUGGCCAAUCUUCCCUUGCAAACCCCUGCGCUUCAGAAAUCUUCUUCACGGCUUGUUGAUAUCUGGAAGCAGCGCAAUGCUUUGAUUUUCAACCAAAUUCCGGCCUCCCGCGCUUCCUGGCUUUUAAACUUCAAAGAGGAUCUUCUGUCCCAAAGUAUUCGGUUGAUGGCGCGAAAGCAGCCCUUCUCCAGUGGCUUGUUUCAGUCUCCUUUGUGCCUUAAACUGGGAGUAUUAUCUCGUACAUUUCGCUAGCCCAACUAUGACUGUAUACUUGUUUGGGAAUAAAGAAACUGAGGAGCAAUAGUUUUACUUAUGUAAUUUUUAAAUUUCCCUUAUUUAUAUCAUUGUGUGUGACCACUGACUAGCAGGCAGCUGGGUCUAAGUUUAUUCUAGGGUGAGUUUAUAUUGUCUCAUUUGAAAAUAUACUUGAUUAAAUGUAUGUAUCAUUGUGGUGUGACAUGGAUCAACCAUUCACUCCGGCACUUGGUUCACAGGGAGGCUGCUCGGUGCUCCCUCUUCUGUAUGAGAUUCUGUAUAAAUCUUGCAUAACUGCGAUGGUGGAUGCUA